rnacentral:rRNA from 1 species
UACAAAGGGGGCAAGCGUUGUCCGGAAUUACUGGGCGUACAGCGCGCGCAGGCGGACCGCCACGUGCCGUGUGACAAGCCACUGCUCAACAGUGGAGGGCCAGGGUACACGAGCGGUCUGGAGGCAGGGAGAGGGAUGUGGAAUGCCCGGUGGAGCGGUGAAAUGCGUAGAGAUCGGGCGGAACACCAGCGGCGAAGGCGGCAUCCUGGUCCUGUUCUGACGCUGAGGCGCGAGAGCGUGGGGAGCGAACUGG